UCAAAUUUGAUCACUGGUGUCAAACCAUAGCACAAGCAUGCUGAUCCCAUAUUGAGUUUCUUUUACGAACCCAUACAGCAACUACGUAGUGAUUUCGUUACUAAAUUAACCAACCAAUAUAGUGUUGAAAGUAAACCAUAUUUCGAUUUUGAAAAAUAGAGAAUCUAUUAUGAAAAACAGAGAAACCGGUGCAAUGUGUGGUGAUAGAUGGUG